CUCCUGACGCUCUCAGAGUCUGGCCUUCUGCUGGGCCCCGGGUCUCUCACUGGCAGAAUGGAGUUCUCGGAGCUGAUCCAUACGGGCUGAGCCCAAGCAGAGUUUCUACGGGGCCCGGAGGCGCCCCCGCUUCGCGGCACGGUUCUGCUACGCUCCAGCCAGCCCCUAACUGGUCCCCAGAAGCGGCGCUGCUACAGGGACCAGGAGCUGCUGCGAACUGCGCUGGCGGGGGCUCGUCCUUGGGCGCGGGGCUUCAUCAUGGACACGCUCUCGGCCCAGGCCGCGAAACAAGCCCGCGUGACUGGCGGAGGCACAGAGACCAAGGCCGCUUAACCUGGCUGGUUGCACUGGUCCCUGGAGAGAGGGCGUCCCCUGCAGGAGAGCUUCAUGCGCCUGGUGGAGGCCUGUGGGGACUCGGAGCAAAGCAUGGACAACUGGCUGAGUCGGCUGGACGGCUGCCGCUGACUGUAACAUGUAAAGCAGGCACUGAGCACCACCUGCCUGGCAGUCCAGGGCAUGGAGAGGCACAGACAGCACCCUGCUUGUGACUUCACUGGCCCAACUCAUCCUGGACCCCUUGAGCAAGACCAUGGCUGGAUUCCAGGAACUGGUGGAGUGGAAGUGGAUCCAGGAAAAUGCCGUGUGAAGGGAGGACUCAGAUGCACUCCCUGUGGUCUGGGCUCAACCAGCCAAAAGAGCAACAAAGACUCCAGAACCCACUCUACCUCCUCAAUCCCUUGGCCAUCUGUGGAGCCCCAGAGCCUGCGGCUGUGGCAAGGCCUGUUUCUGCGCUGGACCUGCUCACCUGAGCCUGCAGAAGCUGCAUGGGGGAAGAGUGUGGCAAAUAGUGACAGGAAGGGAGAAGACAGAAGCCUCUCAGCCAACUGCUUCAGCCGAGCCCCUAUUCUAAGCACUGGCUCCUUGGAUAGCAGCUGAGAUGUUCCUGAAACCUCUGCAGGCCCCUUAGGACCUUUACACCUUGGAUGAGGGUGCCUGCAACCCAGGUUAGCCAAAAGUACUGAGGGUCUUAAGUUUGAAGUGUCCAAAGUAUAGGGAGGUCUCAAUAAUAAAAGUCUCCAUGAUCA
rnacentral:lncRNA from 1 species